UACGUAGGGUGCAAGCGUUAUCGGAAUUACUGGGCGUAAAGCGUGCGCAGGCGGUUUUGUAAGUCUGUCGUGAAAGCCCCGGGCUCAACCUGGGAAUUGCGAUGGAGACUGCAAGGCUUGAAUCUGGCAGAGGGGGGUAGAAUUCCACGUGUAGCAGUGAAAUGCGUAGAGAUCGGGAGGAACACCUGUGGCGAAAGCGGCUCUCUGGACCGUAACUGACGCUGAGACGCGAAAGCGUGGGGAGCCGAACAGG
rnacentral:rRNA from 1 species